ensembl:lncRNA
GUAAAAGGGUUUAUUACAGAAAGAUUGUUAACACAGGAUAGAAUAAAGCAGGAUAGAAUAAUGAGAGCUCUCUGAACCCCUUGUACUGAACCACUACUAUAUAUAUGAAACGCAGAGCAUGACAUAAUUCUGUGUACCGAUAAGAAGCAGUUUGAGGCAGUUCAAACAGGCUUUGUUUUAGGAUCUUGGAAGAUGUUUAGAUGAACCUUGAGCGGAAUAACAUGUUUGUGUCUCUGUAAGAAGAUAAACAUUCUGUACUGAUCUCUGAGUGACAUGACGUGGCCUUCAUAGGCAUUAUCCUCACAUGAGAAUGAAACAGAACAAGAACAAACUUAUUACAAAAUAAAAAUGAGUAAUUUCCCUCACAACAUAUUUACGACUUAUUAUGAUACUAAGACAUGUUUAACAUGUUUAUUACUUAAUAUGAUAUGUUUAACAUGUUUAUGCCUUAAUAUGAUACUUUGACAUGUUUCAUAUUUUUAUGACUUAAUUUGACAUGCUUCACACGUUUAUGACUUAACAUGACACGUUUCACAUGUUUAUGACUUAAUAUGAUAUUUUUCAUGUGUUUUUAAUCAGUAUGAUAUGUUUCACAUGUUUAUGAUAUAAUAUGAUAUGUUUCACAUGCUUAUGAUGUAAUAUGAUAUGUUUCACAUGUUUAUGACUUUAUAGGAUAUGUUUCACAUAUUUAUGCCUUAAUAUGAUACUAUGACGUGUUUAUGUUUAUGACUUAAUUUGAUAUGUUUCACAUGGUUAUGACUUAAUAUGACACUAUGACAUGUUUCACAUGUUUAUGACUUAAAAUGAUAUGUUUCACAUGUUCGUGACUUAAUAUGAUAUUAUGAUGUGUUUCACAUAUUUAUGAUUUAAUAUGACGUUUCACAUGUUUAUGACUUAACAUGACGUUUCACAUGUUUAUUAUUUAAUAUGAUAUGUUUCACAUGUUUAUGAAUUAAUAUGAUACUAAGACAUGUUUCACAAGCUUAUGACUUAAUAUGAUAUGUUUCAAAAGUUGCCUCCAUGGUAGGCGAAAGGUGCGAUGCGAAAGUGGAAGAAUGUCAAGACUUAAAGGGACGUCAUCCGAAAUAACGAUUGGUAGAUAUUCGAGUUGUUUAUUAGCCGAAUUUAGCUUUUGCACCAUCUGUUCCAGUGCUAUAAUGCGAUCACUGUAAUCAUACAGGUGCUGGUCAAGCUCGUCAAUACGUUGUCCUUGUGAUUCAAUGCUCGAUUUAAAACUCUCAAAAGACUCAACAACUGGGGCCAGAGCAGAGUCAUUAGCCUGUAUUGCAAUGGUAGAUGUUAGCUCCGUGAUCAAAGCAGUGCGGAGGUUUCCCAGGUCCAACAGUAGCUUGUCACCAUGACUCACUGUCAUGCUUGGUGAAUUUUAGGGAUAAAGCAAAUAACAGCUUCUAUUAUCCCUCUUUCCUCCGUCAGCCUUUUCACCCUCUUGGUUCAUUUACUCAAAAGAAAAUCUAGUGCAUGUGGUUUAUCACGGAGUGUAUGCAGGCCUGGAGAGUCUAUAUGAACACACUGGCAACCAGAGCAGUUCAAAGAGACGUCUGGUUUGAUGCAGAUUUCACAGAGGUUUAUAUAUACAUAUACAAAGGUACGAAUAGCCGGGGUAGGUGCACUACUGUGUGGAAAUAAUAUGGCAGUUGAAUUGUCUGGCCACCUAUGUGAAAAACAUCUUAGGCAAUACAAGAAUGUACAGCAGUUGUUGAUCAUAUAUGGUCUGGUUCUCUUAACAGAAAAUAGGAAGUUCCUAUGGUGACAUUUUUACUGGCACGUACACAUCAGACAGGUCUAGAAAAGAUCAUGAGACAGAAAUUAAACUAUAACCUAAACAUACUUAUACAUAUCUGAGGGAAUAGAGAAUAGAGAGUUUCCAACAGUGAAGAUUUAGGUUUCCGUAGUCUUUCAGAAGCCAUAACUCCUUUCUGUUUAUAAUUGUAAACUGAGUAAUUGAAAAAGAAGGCACCAAAUGUCUUAGAAAAGAUUUGGGUUGCCUGAAAAGCACAAUUAAAAGAUAAAAUGCUUAGGAGCUCACUCCACGCGUGUCUUCUCACUCACAUGCUCAGCCAGAAGUCUCAUCAGAGCACAUUUGAUGAAAACUGACCUUCUUCACUUCAAUUCUCACUUUUUCACCGUUUCAUACUUUAUUAUAAUGUUAUAGAUUUGAAUGCAAACAAUCAUAUUACAUAUCACUUUAUGUCAGAAAAUAUGAAACAUGUCAGAGUAUAUUAUUAUGACAUAAUAUGAAAAAUGUCAUACUGGAGCAUCUCAUGCAAUUGAUUGUCAGAGCACAUGUGAUAAACUGACUUUCUUCAUUUCAGUUCUCACGUUUUUCACCUUUUCUUACUUUAUUAUCAUGUUAUAGAUUUUAAUGAGCACUGGAGCAAAUGAUUGUCAGAGUACAUUUGAUAAAAACUGACUUUCUUCACUUCAGUCCUCACUUUUUCACCUUUUCAUACUUUAUUAUCAUGUUAUAGAUUUUAAUGUAAACAAUUAUAUUACUCAUCACUACGUCAGAAAAUGUUAAACAUGUCAGAGUAUAUUAUUAUGUCGUAAUGUGAAAAAUGUACGGUGGCCGUGAAGUGCAAAACACAUUAACAAAUCCGAAAACACAUUAGCAAAUCAGAAAACACAUUAACAAAUCAGAAAACACAUUAACAAAUCCAAAAACACAUUAACAAAUCAGAAAACAAAUUAACAAAUCAGAAAACAAACUAACAAAUCCGAAAACACAUUAUAUUAACAAAUCCGACAAAAUGGAAAAGGUAGGUGUAGUUUGCGAAUGGAUUACUUACCGUUGUUUGGAAGAUACAUCUGUCAAUUAAAAUACACAGGAAGUACAACAGGAGCUGCACAAGUACUAGAAAGUCAAUUCAUGGAUAUAUGUCUUAAUGUUAUGUCCGUACAGCAUUUAAAAUAUGGCGUUCUGAAGUUCAUGUGGAAAAAAUCUCGAAGUUUUAAAAAAGAGACACAACAGAACCGGCCCAAAUUUAGCCUAUUACCCAAAAACACUUAAAAUUCAACAUAGAAGCAAAUACUCACAUCUGUAAACCCAGUUGGAGAUAGAAAAAAAGACACCAGCCAUGAGUGAGAAGAAGCAAGGGUCCAGAUUUAUUGGUUUCCUUCCACCACACGAGAUCCACACCCAUGAGAAUUCUCAGAAGUGAUCUGACACCUGGAGCUCAAGCUCCAGUAUUUAUACUGUAUUUACACAGUAGAUAACCAAUAUAUUUCAGAAAGACUAUGAUAUCAAUACCAAUAGGGUUAAAAAAAGAGCUCAUCUACAUUACCAUUAUGUUUUGAAAGAGGCUUAUCAAAUUUACCAUUAUGUUUUGAAAGAGGACUUUCUGGAUACCAUUAGGAUCGAAAGUGGUAGAGAGACAAAACAAUUUAGAGAGACCUUGGUCUCACUAUUAUCUCGCAGGGGCAGCUUGACUCAGCUACCCUUAUAAAUGGCUCCUCAUGGUUUUCUCUUAAAAUUAAGGCCUUCCUUGCGAGACAAGAAUCUUCACCAUCUGAAUUAUGAGAGGGGCUGGAUUUGGACCUGAACACUCACUAUCAGCUCGCGCAUCUCACGGCUGAUGCACACCCGAUUUUCACACCCCAUUUUCUUCCCCCUACCACUCUCCUCAAGAUUACGCACCUACCAGUCCUGUGAAUUUUCAAUAAAAUUACAUAUUACUCAUACUAGGUCUCCCUCAUGUUUAUUUCAUGUCAUUUUUAUCCACAACAGAUGGAUGUUUGUGACAGUGUCAGACUUCCCAGAACAGGAAGCAUCCAUUUCUGCUUUUCCGUCUUCACAGCAAGUUGUGAAUAAAUUCACAUAUUACCCUCAAUGAAGGACAAAUGUCGAGCAAUGAAUUGAUCCACCCGAAUAGGCAAGUUUUCAUGCUUGAAGAGCCCACGUUUGAUGUUUUUGAACUCUGCUUCAACAUUGGCUGAACUUGCAGUGAUGUUGGUGCUUCGGAAGUGAGGGAUCAUUACCCCUGUCCAGAGUGGUCAGUCUGUGUUUGGUCAAAUGGAUGCACUUCUUCCAGGUCCUCACACUCUACAUCUGGAAUGAUUACACACUCUUCUGCAAUUCUGGCUUUCAGCAGUCCCACUGGCAGACCAUCUUGAUGCAGUGUGCAACAUCAACCUGAACAAACAAGGUGGCACUUUUGCUGACACUUUACCGAGUAAGACACCACAAGACUCAUUGAUGUAGGUCUUCAGAUCAGAAUGAGCAGUAAAAGCCUUGACCAGCGCUCCAAGCAAAGCCAGAGAAAAGUCACUCACAACCUCUUUUGGAAUUGGUGCACCUGCACGUAUCCAUUCUGUCAGCCAAUGUGUUAUUGCAUUAACAUCGUGUCUCUCUGACAGCAUUUGCACCACUGGGACACUUGAACUCUCAUCCCCUGCCAGAACACCCUGAUAUAAGAAGAUAUGGCCAGACAUGCCAUUUGGUUUCUGUAGUUUCCUCACCACUGAGCCAGUUGCAUCAAAACUCACAGUGGGGGUGGCCAAAUUAGGAAGAUGGCUUGGUUCAGGAUCUCCAAAAUCCAUCAGCUUUGUUGCCUUUGAUGCCCUCCAUACAUGGGGUUCCAUUCUACCCUCACAAAGUUCCUUGGCUGUCUGCACAUGCAAGUUACCAGACAUCAGACGCUUCGAACAUCCAGUGUGCAGCACCUCAGCAUGCAAGCACACCAGAAAAAAUGUGUGAAUAAUAAAAAGUAAGUGAUUGUACUGUGGAACCAUCUCAAGGAAGUGUAGUAAAGAUAAUGCUGUCAGAUUCAGAGGACAACCAUCCAGGUACUUCAGACGAUGUUGGGACAGAGAAUCGGUGUUACAGAGAAUACAUGGAGGUGUUGCACCUGAAAAUAGUGAAGAGGAGGGUGAGCUUGUAACCACAGCUGACUGUCUUGACCUCCCAGAACCAAUAGAGUAAGCUACAAAAGUUCACAGGAAGACAGCUGCAUUUCAUGCCGAUGGGCUCAAUUUUCUGCCUACAAAGGGGCAUAUUUUCUGCGAAGGUUGGAGAUUGCAAAGAAAGCAACCUCAUUAAAGGUAACAUUAGGCCUAGCACUAUCCACCAAUAUCCACCAAUGUGACUCAUCAUACUAACCUCCACACCUCUACGCGUCCUGACUAUGCUUACAACAACACUGACUGCCCCAGCCCAUCUACCGAUCAAGGCAAUAAAUGAUAGCUUUGGGGAAACACCUGGAGCAUUUGGUGCACAGUAGUCCCCAGUACACCAGUGCAUGAGGUGUAUCCUGAAGUCUUUGCCCCUGCACUAUGGCCAGAUCAAAUUCAGAAACCAUCAGAAUGGUUAUUGGGCAGAAUAAUCCACAGCAAAUUGGAGACUUUGAAAUGGUCUGCACUUAUAUAGCGCUUUCCCAAAAAUUUCCAAAUAAACAAUGGCUGUCGUUUCACACCAGCUAAUUAUUUGCGCAAAGUGGGCUCUCAGUCUGUGGCUAUGUCUAAUGAUUCUGUUCAUGUUAAACUCCAUGUCAUAAUGAGACGGAGUUCCACAAAAGCAGCGUUUGAGCAGCUACCCAAGCUUUGAGAUGUGAUGCUUGAUAUAACUGAGGAUGCUUUGCUGAAACACUGAUUGAAAUAACAACCUUUGUUGAAACAGUAGAGACUAUUGACUUCGUAGUGAGUUUAGUCAUUUAAACCAGUUCUGAGCACACGUUCAGCUUUGGUGAUUGUAGGAUUCCAUUGGAAAUGUAAUCUUAGCCAAAGCUAAACGUGCAAGAAGCAUGUCAUGGAGUCACAUUUGUAAAAGAGCAACUGUCAAUAUAUCAGUAAACAGGUUUCCAUGAUGUCAAUGAAAAAGGAAAGAAACUUGCCCAAAAAAAUGGAUAUUAGGCCCACCUUCACAGAGCAUCAUAUGUGGAUGAGGCAUUGAAACGAGAGGAAAAGUUUAAAGUGAACAUUUUCAAUUGUUUACAGGACACUGUCAUCAGAGAGACAGAGGAAAGUUUUGCUCUCUGCAGCAUAUUUAAUAAUCACUUUGGUCUUUUAAUUGACAUCAAAAACACUGUAGAAAUAUCAAAAGAAGCUUGUAAGGUACUUGCUUUCUUUGUAGGAGACAUUCAUGGUAAAGAUUUUGGCUCAUCUGCUCCCCAGAGAUGUUAACAGUCCAUUGAAUAGAGCUCUAUUUCAUGCUCUGUCUUCCAGGUCCGGCUCUCCUCUGGAUUUUGGAAAGCCAAAAAAAACCCCAAACACACACACACAAAAAUAAAAAAGAAUAAUUCCUCUCUGAUGCCGAGGAGCCAGAAGGAUGUGCUAAAAACUGAGAGCAGCAUAUAAAGAGCUGCUUGAAGUGAUUACUAAGGCUGGAUGAGGUUUUUUUUUCUCCCCAGUGAAAAUAAAUCCCUCACACUGCAGAAAGCUCCCCUUUUUUUCCAGAAGUGCAUGACAAAAUAUCACGCUUCUGGGGGAAACCAUGCAUAAGCCGUAUUUAUAACCCCGCAAUGUCGGAUUAUUCGGCCAUCGUGGGGAAUGGAUGACAUGGCUAUUUAUCUAUGAUGAAGGUGGAGGAGGCACUUGCAGGCUACCUCUCUCCAUCAACGGCGGGGGGGGGUGGGACUUUGCCAUCCAAGCUAUGUAAGGCCACCUUACAUGUUGGUGGGCAAGGCCUAUGCAGUAGCAGGUCACUGCAGACAAUGGAAGUGUUGCAGGCCUACCAAGCAGACCUGCUGAGUGAGCUCGACAUAUGGCGGCAUUCAGCCAGUUCCUUCCCUGUUUUGUCGAGUUCACCCCGGCAUCCAUGAGUGGAGCCUGGGCCAGCGCUAGUGCGAGGGAGGAACAGAAGGCGUGUAUGGCAGCCUGCCUCCCCCAGCAGACAGACAGGGGAACCAGGCAGACACAGUCGUGGAUUGCUACUAGGCCUGACCUGAGAAUGGCCAUAAAGGCCAAGCAGACAAAGGAGGAGCGGUCCCAAGGGGCUGUGGAGGGACAUAUCAGGGAACAUGAGGUUGUUAUGGCAGUUAGCCCCCAGUACUACUGUAGGGCCUCCCCAAGCCAAGUCUGUCCCAAGUUUUCACUGGUCAGUGACCUGUCACAGGGCAAUGAAAAUGUUUUCCCUCCAAUAGAAUGUGGAAAUGUUAAUGUCACUAAAAUACCAUCUGGCAGCGGGGUAUCUACAGACAAAUGUGUCUCCAUGGGUUCUGUCUACCGUAGAAAAUGGUUAUCAGGUGGGUCCAGUUCAGAGCUCGACCCCCCCGGCUCAGAGGUGUGCUGACCACAGUAGUCAGCACAGAGCAGAGCCCGAAAUUAGCGCAUGAAGUAAGAUCCCUCAUGGACAAAGGGGCAUAGAAUAUGUACCCAAUUCCGUGAGGGAGGGAGGUUUUUACAGCCGUUAUUUCCUGGUCUGCAAAAAAAGAGAGAAGUAUGCAGCCAAUUUUAGAUCUGUGAACUUAUCAUUCCACAGAUUCAGUUUGAGGACUGGUUUGUGAUGAUAGAUCUAAAAGUUGUAUGUUUCCACAUAGAAAUAUUGCCCAGUCAAGUUCCUGAGGUUUGCUUUUGGAGGCAACCCCAAUAUCGGGUUCUUCCCUUCGGGCUAGCUUUAUCCACUCACAACUUCACAAAGUGCAUGGGUGCCAGUCUGGCUCCAUUGUGACUCCAGGGCAUCUGU